rnacentral:tRNA from 1 species
GAGGUUGUGGCUUAGUGCUAGAGCACUUGCCUUGUACAUGAGAGACUCUGGGUUCAAUCCUCAGCACCCACC